AUUGAACGCUGGCGGCAUGCCUUACACAUGCAAGUCGAACGGCAGCGCGGACUUCGGUCUGGCGGCGAGUGGCGAACGGGUGAGUAAUGCAUCGGAACGUACCUUUCAGUGGGGGAUAACGUAGCGAAAGUUACGCUAAUACCGCAUAUUCUGUGAGCAGGAAAGCAGGGGAUCGCAAGACCUUGCGCUGAUUGAGCGGCCGAUGUCAGAUUAGCUAGUUGGUGAGGUAAAGGCUCACCAAGGCGACGAUCUGUAGCGGGUCUGAGAGGAUGAUCCGCCACACUGGGACUGAGACACGGCCCAGACUCCUACGGGAGGCAGCAGUGGGGAAUUUUGGACAAUGGGGGCAACCCUGAUCCAGCCAUGCCGCGUGAGUGAAGAAGGCCUUCGGGUUGUAAAGCUCUUUCGGCCGGGAAGAAAUCGCAUGGGUUAAUACCCUGUGUGGAUGACGGUACCGGAAUAAGAAGCACCGGCUAACUACGUGCCAGCCGCCGCCGUAACAC
rnacentral:rRNA from 1 species